rnacentral:rRNA from 1 species
GACGAACGCUGGCGGCGUGCUUAACACAUGCAAGUCGAACGGAAAGGCCCUGCUUUUGUGGGGUGCUCGUGUGGCGAACGGGUGAGUAACACGCGAGUAACCUGCCCCUGACUUUGGGAUAACUUCAGGAAACUGGGGCUAAUAUCGGAUAGGAGCUCCUGCUGCAUGGUGGGGGUUGGAAAGUUUCGGCGGUUGGGGAUGGACUCGCGGCUUAUCAGCUUGUUUGUGAGGUAGUGGCUUACCAAGGCUUUGACGGAUAGCCGGCCUGAGAGGGGGGACGGCCACAAUAGGACUGAGGGACGGCGCAGACUGGAACGGGAGGCAACAGGGGGGAAUAUGGCGCAGUAGGGGGGAGCCAGAUGCGGCAGCGCCGCGUGCGGAAUAACGGCCUUCGAGUGAUGAACCAAUUUCGCCUGUGACGAAGCGUGAGUGACGGUAAUGAGUAAGAAAGCACCGGCUAACUACGUG